AUGCGCCGAAUACAACAGGUGUACGUAGGUAGACCUUACAGUGAAAUACUGAAUAAAACAGGUGUAGGUAGACCUUACAGUGAAAUGCUGAAUACAACAGGUGUAGGUAGACCUUACAGUGAAAUGCUGAAUACAACAGGUGUAGGUAGACCUUACAGUGAAAUGCUGAAUACAACAGGUGUAGGUAGACCUUACAGUGAAAUGCUGAAUACAACAGGUGUAGGUAGACCUUACAGUGAAAUGAUGAAUACAACAGGUGUAGGUAGACCUUACAGUGAAAUGCUGAAUACAACAGGUGUAGGUAGACCUUACAGUGAAAUGCUGAAUACAACAGGUGUAGGUAGACCUUACAGUGAAAUGAUGAAUACAACAGGUGUAGGUAGACCUAACAGUGAAAUGCUGAAUACAACAGGUGUAGGUAGACCUUACAGUGAAAUGCCGAAUACAACAGGUGUAGGUAGACCUUACAGUGAAAUGCUGAAUACAACAGGUGUAGGUAGACCUUACAGUGAAAUGCUGAAUACAACAGGUGUAGGUAGACCUUACAGUGAAAUGCUGAAUACAACAGGUGUAGGUAGACCUUACAGUGAAAUGCUGAAUACAACAGGUGUAGGUAGACCUUACAGUGAAAUGCUGAAUACAACAGGUGUAGGUAGACCUUACAGUGAAAUGCUGAAUACAGCAGGUGUAGGUAGACCUUACAGUGAAAUGAUGAAUACAACAGGUGUAGGUAGACCUUACAGUGAAAUGCUGAAUACAACAGGUGUAGGUAGACCUUGCAGUGAAAUGCUGAAUACAACAGGUGUAGGUAGACCAACAGGGGAAAUGCUGAAUACAACAGGUGUAGGUAGACCUUACAGUGAAAUGCUGAAUACAACAGGUGUAGGUAGACCUUACAGUGAAAUGCUGAAUACAACAGGUGUAGGUAGACCUUACAGUGAAAUGCUGAAUACAACAGGUGUAGGUAGACCUUACAGUGAAAUGCUGAAUACAACAGGUGUAGGUAGACCUUACAGUGAAAUGCUGAAUACAACAGGUGUAGGUAGACCUUACAGUGAAAUGCUGAAUACAACAGGUGUAGGUAGACCUUACAGUGAAAUGCUGAAUACAACAGGUGUAGGUAGACCUUACAGUGAAAUGCUGAAUACAACAGGUGUAGGUAGACCUUACAGUGAAAUGCUGAAUACAACAGGUGUAGGUAGACCUUACAGUGAAAUGCUGAAUACAACAGGUGUAGGUAGACCUUACAGUGAAAUGCUGAAUACAACAGGUGUAGGUAGACCUUACAGUGAAAUGCUGAAUACAACAGGUGUAGGUAGACCUUACAGUGAAAUGCUGAAUACAACAGGUGUAGGUAGACCUUACAGUGAAAUGCUGAAUACAACAGGUGUAGGUAGACCUUGCAGUGAAAUGCUUGCUGACAAUCCCCUAAACCAACAAUGCAGUUUUAAGAAAAAGAGUGAUAAGUAUUUACUCAAAUAA
rnacentral:lncRNA from 1 species